CGCCGCCCUGGCUGAGGUGUUUGCGCCGGAGCUGGCGCGGCUCGGGCGCAGCUUUGCGCGCGGAUAUACGGCGGUGCCGGUGCCGCUGGCGCCGG
rnacentral:tRNA from 1 species